rnacentral:rRNA from 1 species
UGUAGUGUGGUGCCGGCGGACGAGGGAGUUGGAGGGGGUCUGGCGGUGUUCGGUGUUGUUGUGCGUGAAGGGUGCGUAGUCGGUUUGGUAAGUCUUUGGUGAAAUCUACAGGGUCAAUUGGUAGGCUGCACGGGGAACUGCCGGGCUUUGGUAUGGGAGCGGUGAGUGGAAUUCCUGGUGUAGCGGUGAAAUGCGUAGAUAUCAGGAGGAACACCUGUGGCGAAGGCGGCUCACUGGACCAUAACUGACGCUGAUGCACGAAAGCUAGGGGAGCAAACAGGAUUAGAUACCCGGGUAGUC